GUCUUGAUGCAGUUUUUUGGCUAAAAGUUGACGAAUUCUUCGUCUCACAACGUCUGUCAUUUGUUUUACGUUUGCCAUCAGUUUUAGGCAGUAACUGUUAGCUGUCGAGAGUACCGGAACAGACUGUGAAGUAUUUCUAUAGAUCUAAAUAUGGUUCGUAAAAAAGGACAUUUUGUCUGGCAUUCGGAAUUCCUACACUAGUGAUCCAUGAGGACUUUAUCCAGUUUCCAGAAUGGCAGGAAGGAAGGACUUAUUGAAUUGGACCACUUGACAAGGCAGCUUACAAAAGUCAGAAAUUUAAAAGCAGCCACUGGGCGACAUUAAAUUAAAGCUUGUCUACAUUUUCCAUAAAAUUUCCAAAAUAAAUAUUGGAAAAAAAACAACAUGGAAAUACAAUAGACAUCAACACAAAAUAGCACAGCACCAGUAUGAAUGCGGAAGUUAUCAUGAGUGGUGUGGCAUUGUUCCUGUUCAUUUAUGGUUUACAGAUUCCAAAAGUCUGAACCAGAUAUGAGUAGAGUACAGUUUGAGAAAUGUCUUGGUAGAACAGAUACUAAGGAAACAAUAAAAGGCAGAACAGACCACAUUUCUCCUUCUUAUAACUGGUAAAGUUCGAAGUAAGGGCGAGUACAGUAAUGCAGCCCCAGUGAGAGUUCAUGAUGUGUCAGCCGUAAAUGUGUGGUCGUUAAAUGAUGUGCAGUCAGAUUGACAAGUAACAUUAAUUUAUCAAUUCUGAGAGAAAUUUUUGCUGUGCUUUGUGCAGGAUACUCUUAAAAAAUACGUGAACCAGAAUUUUAUAUUAUAAGUACAAUGUCAGAUGUACUCCAGACUUCACACAUAUGUUGAUGUUUAUACAUAUUUGGUGAUUAAUUUGUCAAGUGAAGAAAUUUUAUGAAUAAUGUUAGUGGGUGACAGAACAGAAGUACAAAGUCAAUUACAGAGGUCGACAACACUGAGUUUAGGAUGCAGAAAAAAUCCAGUGAUUCUGACGAAACAACAUACAUAGAAAGAUUAUACUAGUAAAAUGAAAACUUUUAGUGUAUGGAAAAGUUUGGAAGCAGGUUUACCAUUGACAGAAGAGACAGUAUUUACAGACUGGUCUACACUUAUUUUGAUUUGACUUUUACACGGUGAUUCCUCCAGUAAACAGCUAGUGAUCUGAGAGAAUUGUGUUCAUUAUAUCAUACAGGUUUAGAGUGAAUGUAAAAUUAAUGUGUAUUUAAAUCAAUCAAAAUUUUUCAAAAUUGGAUGUUGAAACUUUACAACUGUUUAGUAUUUCAGUAAUCAGUUAGGAUUUUUGAGUGAUUUCAAUAAAGUACAAAUUAAAAAAAAAAAGAAUCACUAUCAGCCAAGAUGAUGUACUAUUGUAAAAGAUAGAAAGAAAAUUCACAAGUCACAUUAACUUGGUAAAAGGGAUUUUAACAGAAUUAAACUAUAAUUGGUGAAGGAAUCUGCAUGUUGUAUCAAAUAGCUAUAAUGUAUUUUGUAGUUCUUUGGAUGUAUCUUCUAUCUAUCUCUUUUCAAACUAAAUUUUGUCUCUUAAAUCUAUUGAAAUUGCCAUCAAAAUAAAAAUUUCUUUUAAAAACAAUUAAAAGGUAUAUUCAACAAGCCAGUACUUUGUUACUAAUCUUAGUCAGUGGAAUUUAUUUUUAGACUUGUCCUAUUUUUUUUGAUUCAGUUUCUGGAUCCCCAUUUAUUAGUUACUGUACACAUUUUGGGAUUCCAGCAAUUUUCCACAUCCUCAUUACAAGGUAGUAUUGAUUUUUCAUUGGUCCAAUGGUUAACUAUGUAUAAUGCUAUAAAGUAAAACUGUUCUAUUAAUAGAUUUUCAGAAAAUCUGUUUGAGUUAUUUAUACCCAGUAUACAAAUUCAUGUACUUUUAUUUGAUUUGAACAUUACUGUUUAAUAUUAUCCUGAACAAAUUACAGGUUUUCUUUGCUUUAUAUUAGAGAAUUUUGGUAAAUUUCGUUGAUGAAAGGUCCAAGGUACUUUUCUCAAAUAGUCAAUUAAUAGAAAUUUUCAAAUAUAAUAUCUUGUGCAGUGAAUUAAAAAGAAAUUUAUUUAUUUCAGUACUAGUCAGUUCUGAACUUGAAAGAUACUUUGAUAGGUUUUUAGCUCGACUAUUCGAAGAAUAGGGGAGCUAUCCUACUCGCCCCGGCGUGAGCGCGAGCGUCACACAAAUGUUAAAGUUUGCAUACCACCCCAAAUAUUUUCAAAGUGCAUUAAGAUAUUGCUUUCAUAUUUUACAUACUUGUUUACCAUCAUGACCCCAGUCUGUAAAAAAGAGGAGGCAACUCUGUCAAGCAUUUUGACUGAAUUAUGGCCCCUUUUCGACUUAGAAUAAAUGUUAAGGUUUGCGUACCACCGCAAAUAUUUUCAAAGUCCAUUGAGGUAUUGCUUUCAUAUUUUGCAUACUUGUUUACCAUCAUGAUCCCAGUCUGUAAAAAGGAGGAGGCAACUCUAUCAAGCAUUUUGACUGAAUUAUGGCCCCUUUUCGACUUAGAAUAAAUGUUAAAGUUUGCGUACCACCCCAAAUAUUUUCAAAGUCCAUUGAGAUAUCGCUUUCAUAUUUUGCUUACUUGUUUACCAUCAUGACCCAAGUCUGUAAAAAGGAGGAGGCAACUCUAUCAAGCAUUUUCACUGAAUUAUGGCCCCUUUUCGACUUAGAAUAAAUGUUAGUUUGCGUACCACCCCAAAUAUUUUCAAAGUGCAUUAAGAUAUUGCUUUCAUAUUUUGCAUACUUGUUUACCAUCAUGACCCCAGUCUGUAAAAAAGAGGAGGCAACUCUGUCAAGCAUUUUGACUGAAUUAUGGCCCCUUUUCGACUUAGAAUAAAUGUUAAAGUUUGCGUACCACCCCAAAUAUUUUCAAAGUCCAUUGAGGUAUUGCUUUCAUAUUUUGCAUACUUGUUUACCAUCAUGACCCCAGUCUGUGAAAAGGAGGAGGCAACUCUAUCAAGCAUUUUGACUGAUUUAUGGCCCCUUUUUGACUUAGAAUAAAUGUUAAAGUUUGCGUACCACCCCAAAUAUUUUCAAAGUCCAUUGAGAUAUUGCUUUCAUAUUUUGCAUACUUGUUUACCAUCAUGACCCCAGUCUGUAAAAAGGAGGAGGCAACUCUAUCGAGCAUUUUGACUGAAUUAUGGCCCCUUUUCGACUUAGAAUAAAUGUUAAAGUUUGCGUACCACCCCAAAUAUUUUCAAAGUCCAUUGAGAUAUUGCUUUCAUAUUUUGCAUACUUGUUUACCAUCAUGACCCCAGUCUGUAUAAAGGAGGAGGCAACUCUAUCAAGCAUUUUGACUGAAUUAUGGCCCCUUUUCGACUUAGAAUAUGCUUAUAGUAAUGUUAAAGUUUUACUCAUUGCUUAUCAAGCACUGAGAAUAGUUGAGCGCGCUGUCCACUGACAGCUCUUGUUGGUUUAAUUCAGUAACUUACUAUAGGAAGAAUUAUUUAAGGUAGCUCAACACAACUUCUGGACAUUAAGGUGAUUUAUUAUCAUAUAUGAUAUAAGAUAAUUUUCAUUGAGUCCUACAUACCAGAACAUUUUUGAGUGACAAUUAGAAAUAUUUUAGAUUACUUGGGGUGGUUCACUACCUGUUAGAAAUAUUUAAGGUGGUUAACCAUCUGUUAGAAAAUGAAAAUACGGUACAGUACUGGGACUUGUUUUUGCAGGCAAUUAUCACAACAUGAAAUUUUAUAGGUGCUGAAUUGAAGGUCAUUUCCUCCAUGGUUAUUGUCGUGGUGUUUAUAACUCCCCCGCCACAAGUGGUGGGGGUUAUAGGAAUGGUCUCUGUCCAUCCUUCCCUACUUCCGUCCUUCCAUCUUCCGUCCUUCUGUAACAUUUUGUGUCCGCUCUGUAUCUCCUAAACCCCUUGAACAUGUUGAAGGAUUUUCAUGAAACUUGGUUCAAAUAAUCACCUCAUCAAGACAAUGUGCAGAACCCAUGAGUCUCCCAUGUCGGUUCAAGGUCAAGGUCACAACUCAAAGCCUUCAAUUUUGUGUCUGCUCUGUAUCUCCUAAACCCCUUCAAGUGUGCUGUUAACAGACAGCUUUUGUGAUAUAUCAGGAGCACAUAAUUCCGGACAAGCUGGUCUGAUCAUACCCAAAAUCGAGUUAUUCCAAGAGCUUGUGCUCGUAUACAUUGCCAUUAAAUCUGAUCAAAAUUGUUAUGAAAAUGUUCAACUAGAGCGUUAAAAUUGUCAAAUAUUGCAACAUUUUAGGCCAUACCAAAUUGAUAUGUCGUUCGUCGGAACUACCGCAUCAAUAAUUCCAUUCCCGAGAAAAAAAAAUAAAAAUUACCCGCCCGCACGUACAUAAAAAUCUCCGAAAAAAAAAAUUUUUUUUCGAUUAUGCGGUCCGGAAUAAUAACGGCAAAACAGGUUUUAUCGCUGUUUUAAUGCGUCAAAGUGAUAUUGAUCGGAUUUCAUGCGUCCGUAAUACAUGUAGCUGAUGAUCCAAACUCAAAAAAGUCAGGAAUUAUGGUGUUGUUCAUCAUCUGUUUUAAAUCUGGAGUGUCUGUGCUAGUGCCACACAUGGCCUUCGAUGUGCCGGUAGGUAAUGAAAUAGGCACAUUCUACUUUUGUUCAAUACAGUGAAAAGAACGAAGCCCGACUUGUAAGACGUGCACGGGGAUGCAGUUAAAAUAUUUGGAAAUAUUGUUCAGAUAUAAAGUUUUCAAACCAUUUGUUAUCAGUUGUUUAAUUCAGCAUGUUAGAUCUAGAG